GUCGAACGGAAGUCUUCGGACUUUAGUGGCGGACGGGUGAGUAACGCGUGAGAACCUACCCUUAGGACGGGGAUAACAGCUGGAAACGGCUGCUAAUACCCGAUGUGCCGAGAGGUGAAAGAUUUAUUGCCUGAGGAAGGGCUCGCGUCCGAUUAGCUAGUUGGAGUGGUAAUGGCACCCAAAGGCGACGAUCGGUAGCUGGUCUGAGAGGAUGAUCAGCCACACUGGGACUGAGACACGGCCCAGACUCCUACGGGAGGCAGCAGUGGGGAAUUUUCCGCAAUGGGCGCAAGCCUGACGGAGCAAUACCGCGUGCGGGAGGACGGCCUUUGGGUUGUAAACCGCUUUUCUCAGGGAAGAAGUUCUGACGGUACCUGAGGAAUCAGCAUCGGCUAACUCCGUGCCAGCAGCCGCGGUAAUACGGGGGAUGCAAGCGUUAUCCGGAAUUAUUGGGCGUAAAGCGUCCGCAGGUGGUUUGUCAAGUCUGCUGUUAAAGCGUGGAGCUUAACUCCAUAUCGGCGGUGGAAACUGAUGAACUAGAGGGUGGUAGGGGUCACGGGAAUUCCCAGUGUAGCGGUGAAAUGCGUAGAUAUUGGGAAGAACACCAGCGGCGAAAGCGCGUGACUGGGCCAUUACUGACACUCAUGGACGAAAGCUAGGGGAGCGAAAGGGAUUAGAUACCCCUGUAGUCCUAGCCGUAAACGAUGGACACUAGGUGUUGCCCGAUCGACCCGGGCAGUGCCGUAGCUAACGCGUUAAGUGUCCCGCCUGGGGAGUACGCACGCAAGUGUGAAACUCAAAGGAAUUGACGGGGGCCCGCACAAGCGGUGGAGUAUGUGGUUUAAUUCGAUGCAACGCGAAGAACCCUACCAGGGCUUGACAUGUCCAGAACCCUCUUGAAAGGGAGGGGUGCCUUCGGGAACUGGAGCACAGGUGGUGCAUGGCUGUCGUCAGCUCGUGUCGUGAGAUGUUGGGUUAAGUCCCGCAACGAGCGCAACCCUCGUUUUUAGUUGCCAUCAUUCAGUUGGGCACUCUAGAGAGACUGCCGGUGACAAACCGGAGGAAGGUGGGGAUGACGUCAAGUCAGCAUGCCCCUUACGUCCUGGGCUACACACGUACUACAAUGCUGCGGACAAAGGGUUGCAAGCUCGCGAGAGCAAGCUAAUCCCAUAAACCGUGGCUCAGUUCAGAUUGCAGGCUGCAACUCGCCUGCAUGAAGGAGGAAUCGCUAGUAAUCGCAGGUCAGCAUACUGCGGUGAAUACGUUCCCGGGCCUUGUACACACCGCCCGUCACACCAUGGGAGUUGGCCACGCCCGAAGUCGUUACUCCAACC
rnacentral:rRNA from 1 species